rnacentral:rRNA from 1 species
AAGGAUGAGUGGAGCUUGCUCCCCUGAUUCAGUAGCGGACGGGUGAGUAAUGCCUAGGAAUCUGCCUGGUAGUGGGGGACAACGUUUCGAAAGGAACGCUAAUACCGCAUACGUCCUACGGGAGAAAGCAGGGGACCUUCGGGCCUUGCGCUAUCAGAUGACGCCUAGGUCGGAUUAGCUAGUUGGUGAGGUAAAGGCUCACCAAGGCGACGAUCCGUAACUGGUCUGAGAGGAUGAUCAGUCACACUGGAACUGAGACACGGUCCAGACUCCUACGGGAGGCAGCAGUGGGGAAUAUUGGACAAUGGGCGAAAGCCUGAUCCAGCCAUGCCGCGUGUGUGAAGAAGGUCUUCGGAUUGUAAAGCACUUUAAGUUGGGAGGAAGGGCAGUAAGUUAAUACCUUGCUGUUUUGACGUUACCGACAGAAUAAGCACCGGCUAACUUCGUGCCAGCAGCCGCGGUAAUACGAAGGGUGCAAGCGUUAAUCGGAAUUACUGGGCGUAAAGCGCGCGUAGGUGGUUCAGCAAAGUUGGAUGUGAAAGCCCCGGGGCUCAACCCUGGGGAAACUGCAUCCAAAACUACUUGAGCUAGAGUAACGGUAAAGAGGGGUGGNUGGAAUUCCUGNUGUAGCGGUGAAAAUGCGUAAAAUUUAGGAAGGAACACAGUGGACGAAGGCGAAC